ensembl:snRNA U6 U6 spliceosomal RNA
GUCCUUGAUGAGAAGGACAUAUAGUAAAAACUGGAACGAUACAAAGAUUAACAUGUCAUCUUCUCAAGGAUGGCAUGCAAAGUCAUGAGGCAUUAAAAAAAAUC